AGAGUUUGAUCAUGGCUCAGGACGAACGCUGGCGGCGUGCUUAACACAUGCAAGUCGAACGGAAAGGCCCUUCGGGGUACUCGAGUGGCGAACGGGUGAGUAACACGUGGGUGAUCUGCCCUGCACUCUGGGAUAAGCCUGGGAAAUUGGGUCUAAUACCGGAUAGGACCGCAUGCUUCAUGGUGUGUGGUGCAAAGCUUUUGCGGUGUGGGAUGAGCCCGCGGCCUAUCAGCUUGUUGGUGGGGUAAUGGCCUACCAAGGCGACGACGGGUAGCCGGCCUGAGAGGGUGACCGGCCACACUGGGACUGAGAUACGGCCCAGACUCCUACGGGAGGCAGCAGUGGGGAAUAUUGCACAAUGGGCGCAAGCCUGAUGCAGCGACGCCGCGUGAGGGAUGACGGCCUUCGGGUUGUAAACCUCUUUCAGUAGGGACGAAGCGAAAGUGACGGUACCUACAGAAGAAGGACCGGCCAACUACGUGCCAGCAGCCGCGGUAAUACGUAGGGUCCGAGCGUUGUCCGGAAUUACUGGGCGUAAAGAGCUCGUAGGUGGUUUGUCACGUUGUCCGUGAAAACUCACAGCUUAACUGUGGGCGUGCGGGCGAUACGGGCAGACUGGAGUACUGUAGGGGAGACUGGAAUUCCUGGUGUAGCGGUGGAAUGCGCAGAUAUCAGGAGGAACACCGGUGGCGAAGGCGGGUCUCUGGGCAGUAACUGACGCUGAGGAGCGAAAGCGUGGGGAGCGAACAGGAUUAGAUACCCUGGUAGUCCAA
rnacentral:rRNA from 1 species